GGGUCAGUAGGUUGGUCGUGCCACCGGUACGUACUGGUCUCACCGAUUCCUCCUUCCUGAAGAACCGUAAUGCCAUUAAUUUGGUGUUGCGGGGAAACAGGACUGUUACUUUGAAAAAAUUAGAGUGUUUAAAGCAAGCUAACGCUUGAAUACAUUAGCAUGGAAUAAUGAAAUAGGACGAUCGAUCCUAUUUUGUUGGUUUCUGGGAUUGACGUA
rnacentral:rRNA from 1 species